rnacentral:rRNA from 1 species
UGCCAGCCGCCGCGGUAAUACGGAGGGUGCAAGCGUUAUCCGGAAUCACUGGGUUUAAAGGGUGCGCAGGCGGACCCGUCAGUGUCUUGUGAAAUCCCACGGCUCAACCGUGGAACUGCAGGGCAUACUGCGGGUCUUGAACUCGGCAGGGGCAACCGGAACUCUAGGUGGAGCGGUGAAAUGCGUAGAUAUCUAGAGGAACGCCAAAGGCGAAGGCAGGUUGCUGGGCCGAUGUUGACGCUCAGGCACGAAAGCGUGGGUAGCGAACGGGAUUAGAUA